UAUGUAUGACCAAGACGGAAGAGCAUACGCGCUUCUUAGACAGAAGCAGUGAAGGUUUUUAAUGGGCUCCUUAGCAGGGAGAGUCUGGCUUGAACUCCAGAGUCACCYUCAUGGCCUUGUAUAGUUGUCUUUAUUUAAAUUUCUAGCCUCAGCCCAUUAAAACAUCAUAAUACUGAAGAAUUGAAAUAAAAAGUAUUAUUUAAAAAAUCAUUUGUUAAUAAAAUGAUAUUUUUAGCCGUAAUAUAGGAAUGGUUUCUGCUUGUUUUAGGACCCUAAUCCUUAGGAAGGUUUCCAAACCUCUAAAUGUACUUUAAAUGUCCGUCUGACUUUAAAAGUACCUACUCAGKGCUGUAUGCACCAACUGGAAAGAACAGAAAGAUGAUUGAUCCAUCAGUGUCCCCUUUCCAAAGUGCCUAAAUUAAAUAAAUGAAUUUCCACUUCGCUCUUUGUUGCUUUUAGAAAUUGUGACCUUCCAGUGUGCAUGUUACUGAUACAUGCCCUGCUGGAAAGGCUCUGCCCCAGUUGUUGCUAAAUAUAUUAAAAUCCCUGCCUGUGUCCCUUCUAUUCAAGCAUGUUUUAUUUUGUUUGUCUUUCAAAGGGGCAAAGACAUCAUGAUGGAAUGUAAGAAAUUCCUUGGAUUGCAUUGUCCCCAGGAAUAUCCUUCCCUGCUCUGUGAUUACUUGCUGGGUCCUAAGGACAAAACCAGUUUGCAGCUGGCACUGAGGUAACCCUCGUCCCUUCCAAGACUCCUCAGGCUGCUGUGGUGUCAGUGCUGGGGACACUGCUAGUGGCCAUGUCCUUCUGGGAGAGCUCUGUGCUAUCGCAUGCACCUCAAUGUUUUCUUCUCUGAAAAGGAAUGUUCUGGAGAAACACUUGCCUCAGUGCAGCUCAUCUGUGUUCUUCCAUGUCCUGAGGACCUGCUGCUGUUCCAGUGAACGCUUUAAACCUCUCUGUUCUCCUUCUAAGUUCUCAAGCUGCUGCUGCCUUUCAACUCCAUGUUUCCUGCGCUUUGGGCUUUUUGAGCAAAUAAGAGUCCUGAACCAGAACUCUUUGGUAUUUGCUUUUUUCACCUCUUUAUUCGCGGAACUAUUAUAUAUCUGAUAUAGAAAUAUGAAGUUGUAAAAUAUAACCUACUGAAACAAGUGAAUGAUGAGUAGAAUUCAUCAUACAGGACUUCCCUGGUGGCGCAGUGGUUAAGAAUCUGCCUGCCAAUGCAGGGGACACGGGUUUGAUCCCUGGUCCAGGAAGAUCCCACAUGCCGUGGAGCAACUAAGCCCGUGUGCCACAGCUACUGAACCUGAGUUCUAGAGCCCACAAGGCACAAAUACUGAGCCUGCGAGCCACAACUACUGAAGCCUGUGCACCCUAGAACCCGCGCACCGCAACUACGGAGCCCACUCGCUGCAGCUACUGAAGCCUGCAUGCCGAGAGCCUGUGCUCCGCAACAAGAGAAGCCACUGCAAUGAGAAGCCUGUGCACCACAAUGAAGGGUAGCCCCCGCUCGCCAUAACUAGAGAAAGCCCGUGCAUACCAACGAAGACCCAACACAGCAAAAAAAAUUCAUCAUCCAUUUUUCACUAUGCUUUGAGAAUUUAGGCUAUUUCUUUUUGUAAGAAUAAAUCCAGGCUGUCAUCUGGGGAAGAUUUUCAUAAAUUAAACAAGAAAAUAAUUUGAAAAAAGAUAAAGGUAAGCAUAUUUUUUAUAUUUGAAUACAUUAUAAAGUUGAACGUGAUAUUAUACAAGCAAAACUAUUUUAAGUACCAUACAUAGCUUGAGAUAAAGUAGAAGAAUAAAAUAGGUGAAUACAUUAGAGCCUUUCGCACUUUAAUCACUGUUAUUUUGAACUCCUGGUCUGAUAAUUCCUAAAUUUCUACUAUAUCUGAGUCCGUUUCUGAUACUUGCUCUGUCUCAUCAAACUGUGUUUUUCACCUUUUAGUAUGGUAAGUUUCUUUAAAAGUUGAACAUGAUGUACAGGAUAAAAGGAACUGAGGUAAAUUGACCAUUUGAUGAGUAUUUACAUUUAUCUUGCUAAGAGGUUGGCUGUGUUUACUUCUAGUCCUGGACUCUGUUUCUACCGUCUUUAUUUUCCAUAUCGGCCAAGCUGGCUUAUCCUUCAGGAUUUGUCUUCUUUUUUUUUUUUUAAUUAAUUAAUUUAUUUCUUUAUGUUUGGUUGCCUU
rnacentral:lncRNA from 1 species